CGAUUGAACAUGAAAACACUAUCGAGCAUGCAAAAACCAAUGGCAUGCUAUUGUAGCUAGGUUAUAUGAGUGUUCCUACAUGAAUAUUUUUCCCGAUCCUGGCAUUCGUCCUUUUGCAGGUAAAAGUAUGCUCAUUAAGAAGCGUCAUUCCACCCUCAAGUUUAGUUUCAUACGCCAAGCAAAAGUGCUUGGACAAUGACUUCUAAUGCCAGCUUCUGUAGAACACAAAGCAUCCUAGCUAACUCAGCUGUCUUCGUCAAUGGCAUCAUGUUCCCAUGACAAUGGCCAUCAACUUUCAAUAACACAAAUAUAAUGGCCUUGCAAACCAGCUGCGUAAUAUUUCGAGAUAACCUCAACAGCUUAGCGAUAAACAUAAAUGUCAAACUAAUAGGCCCAGUUGAGGUAAUUUUUCACUAGUGUUCAUUAUCAGAGGAUGCAGCUCAGGCUGCAAAAGGAUAACCUCCCAACUGACAAAAU